rnacentral:rRNA from 1 species
UGAACGCUGGCGGCGUGCCUAAUACAUGCAAGUCGAACGAGGUGCUUUUGUAGCAAUACGGAAGUAUCCUAGUGGCGAACGGGUGAGUAACGCGUUGGUGACCUACCCCAAAGUGUGGGAUAACAGUCCGAAAGGAUUGCUAAUACCGCAUGUGGUUGUCGGAUUUAGAAACUGGCAUCUAAAGGAGCAAUUCGCUUUGGGAGGGACCUGCGUCCCAUCAGCUAGUUGGUGAGGUAAUGGCUCACCAAGGCUACGACGGGUAGGGGACCUGAGAGGGUGGCCCCCCACAAUGGAACUGAAACACGGUCCAUACACCUACGGGUGGCAGCAGUAGGGAAUAUUGCACAAUGGGCGAAAGCCUGAUGCAGCAACGCCGCGUGCGCGAAGAAGGCCCUCGGGUCGUAAAGCGCUUUUCUGAGAGAUGAGAAAGGACAGUAUCUCAGGAAUAAGUCUCGGCUAACUACGUGCCAGCAGCCGCGGUAAAACGUAGGAGGCGAGCGUUAUCCGGAUUUACUGGGCGUAAAGCGCGUGCAGGCGGUUCGGUAAGUUGGAUGUGAAAGCUCCUGGCUCAACUAGGAGAGGUCGUUCAAUACUGCCGAACUUGAGGGCAUCAGAGGAAGGUGGAAUUCCCGGUGUAGUGGUGAAAUGCGUAGAUAUCGGGAGGAACACCAGUGGCGAAAGCGACCUUCUGGGAUGUUCCUGACGCUCAGACGCGAAAGCUAGGGUAGCAAACGGGAUUAGAGACCCCGGUAGUCCUAGCAGUAAACGAUGUAGACUUGGCGUCGGUGGGUUAAAAACCAUCGGUGUCGAAGCUAACGCGAUAAGUCUACCGCCUGGGGACUACGGCCGCAAGGUUAAAACUCAAAGGAAUUGACGGGGGCCCGCACAAGCAGCGGAGCGUGUGGUUUAAUUCGAUGCUACACGAAGAACCUUACCCGGGU